GUACGCGUAAACCAUAGGAACGUGCCGUGGAGUUGGAACGUUGGGUUAGCGCUUAAGAUGCUUCUGGCGUUUUGAAACGAGGGUACAAGAAAAAACAGUGGAGCACAGAUGCUUAUCUAUACAAUCCUAUGCAGACAUGAGGAAGUCGCAUAGAGUUCAAAGGAUUAUUUAGAAACAGAGCAAAAGAAGGAGCUGAUUCUAUAGUAGCAGACCCAGAAUAUAGAGAUCACAGCCCAGAGAAGAAGGGUGAGUGAACUAUAAUAAUAAUAAUGGGUGAUAGAUGAGGGAGUGAUUCAAGAACUCUGAACACAAGGGCAUCUAGAUACAAGGCUCAAUAGGCAAAGUAGGUUUUGAUUCAAAUAGGGAGCCAAUAAAAUGUUACAUGUAGGAGAAGGGGUGGCAGUACCUGGGGAGCCAAAAGAGGAAUCAGCCAAGAGUCACUUCAACCUCUCUUGAAUUCUAUUGACCUUAUCCAGCUCCAGAAUAGUGGCACUUUUGAGCAUAUUCUUGUUCAUAGGUAUGAGAAGUAAUAAAUCAGUUUAAUUGGAACUUCAUGUGUGGUCCUGGUCUGGUUCACACCAGGGGUGAAAUCCAGCAGGUUCUGACAGGUUCUGGAGAACUGGUACGGAAAAUCUCAGGGGUUGCCACAAAGAAGAGAAAGUC